UAAGAUGUCUGAUCACUGAUGUAUUGUAUGUCAUUGUAUGUACACAUACCAUGUAUGUACCGCGGAGUGCGGACGUUCCACGAGUGUCUGCGAGUCGCGAGCUACGACACUGCAGCUACGGUAGCCCACGACCCACGAAUCCCACGAUACGACAUUCUAUGACUGACAUCGUGACGUGACUCGUGACUACUGACUCGACAUAUGUACUUUAAUUUAGUACGUGCCGUGCAGUCGAACGGAUCGAGCCUGGCUAUACAGACUGAUCAUAGGACUUGCACUACUCGUAGCAGUCGUAGCUCGUAGGGAAUGAUCAACGCUGGAUCCGCGUCGCCGUCAGUCGCCGUGGUGAGUUGCAUUGAGUUGCAUCGCGAUCCAGUUGAAAUAGGUCGACUGGGCGGUUUGGGCGUCGCGGUCGUGUGAACGAUGGAACUCCGCCGAUGUUUCCGUGGUGCGUGAGCGUGUCACGCCCCCGAAGCCUUCCCAUCUCUUCUAUAUCGCCCAUCCUUCUCCCUCAUCGUGUGUAUUUUGUGCGACGUGAGUGCGAGCCAUAAAAAGAAAGAGAUCCUACGAAAGCGCGCUGUGGGGAGCGCUACGAGAGAGAGAGAGAGAGGGAGAGCGCAGUCUCGACAUAUCGUCACACGAUUGUACGCAGCGUGUCACGGCCGUGACGCAGCCCUUCAUACAAAUGGAGUUGCUCGCCAGAUGUGACUCACCCUCAUCUUUUUAAAUGAGGAAUCAUAUGACUUUCCUGAUCAAUAUAUUUCGUUAGUUAUUCUACUUAUAAAAAUAAUAUAUAUGAUAUAUCAUCAGAAA